rnacentral:rRNA from 1 species
GAUGAACGCUGGCGGCGUGCCUAAUACAUGCAAGUCGAGCGAACAGACGAGGAGCUUGCUCCUCUGACGUUAGCGGCGGACGUGUGAGUAACACGUGGAUAACCUACCUAUAAGACUGGGAUAACUUCGGGAAACCGGAGCUAAUACCGGAUAAUAUAUUGAACCGCAUGGUUCAAUAGUGAAAGACGGUUUUGCUGUCACUUAUAGAUGGAUCCGCGCCGCAUUAGCUAGUUGGUAAGGUAACGGCUUACCAAGGCGACGAUGCGUAGCCGACCUGAGAGAGUGAUCGGCCACACGGGAACUGGGACACGGUCCAGACUCCUACGGGAGGGAGCAGUAGGGAAUCUUACGCAAUAGGCGAAAACCUGACGGAGCAACGCCGCGUGAGUGGUGAAGGUCUUCGGAUCGUAAUACUCUGUUAUUAGUGAAGAACAAAUUUGUAAGUAACUAUGCACGUCUUGACGGUACCUAAUCAGAAAGCCACGGCUAACUACGUG